UACGGAGGGUGCAAGCGUUGUCCGGAUUUAUUGGGCUUAAAGGGUGCGUAGGCGGUCUUUUAAGUCGGGUGUGAAAGCCCAGGGCUCAACCCUGGAAGUGCACUCGAAACUGAUUGGCUUGAAUAUGGAAGAGGGUUGCGGAAUUCCCGGUGUAGAGGUGAAAUUCGUAGAUAUCGGGAGGAACACCAGUGGCGAAGGCGGCAACCUGGGCCAAUAUUGACGCUGAGGUGCGAAAGCGUGGGGAGCAAACAGG
rnacentral:rRNA from 1 species